CCCUCGUAUACACGUAAAUUCUCCACCCCUUCGGAACUAGAUAUCCUGUAAAAGUGAAAUUAACCACAAGGUUAGCGAAAACUAAUACGUGCUCGUUAUUCGUUUACUACAACCUCGUACAUUCGGCCCGAAAAAAACGAGUUUUAUUUGUUGGGUUAACGAGUUUUAUUAUUGCGUUAUAGUUUCUCGGGGAUUUGACAAAGGAAUAAUGUUUGUGUGACUGAUUGGAAAAUGAACACUUAUCCGAAACCAUAGACAAAAUAAUUCCUUUGCACCACAGAUGGGUCAUGAAUCGAAUGUCUUUGUGCUGGAAUGGUAGGUUUUCCAUGUGGAUUUGUGAUAGGGUAGGGCCCAUUUACAAAUUUCAUCUCUUUCUCUAUGAUUGCUCUUAUAUAUAUAUAAUAUAUUAUAUAUAUGUAUAUGUUUAUGUAUAUAAAUUGAGGCAGUAAAAAUUCUGGUUUCUUGAAAUUGUGAAAAGCAUGAGAUGAAUAUGUAAUAAAAUGGAGUUGAUCUUUAAUCAUGGUUGGGCUAAUGAGGGCAAGGAGUGCACCUCUCAUAUGCUUGUGUGCAGAGCCAUGGAUAGCUGCAAUGUUGCAUUUGCCCAAGAUAUCCAACAUUGACUGUGGAUAACCAGGGUGGAACAAAAGGGAGGUCUGAAAAUGACUUGAAGAGAAAUGUGGAUCCUUUGUGGAGAUCCGAUCCUUCGAUAGGGAUUUGACACUACUGCCACUGUUACCCUUUUCCUACAUUUCUAACCCAUUUUCUAAUCAAGGUAAUUAACUGUUUGUUAAUCUCUCUCUCUUUUAUUUAUUUGCAUUUUUUUUUUAAUUUUUAUGUUUAUUAAUUGUUGGAAUUAGGGUAAAUGGUUGCAUGCUUCAUGCUUAAUGUUAAU